GUGCUCACCUCGGCAGCACAUAUACUAAAAUUGGAACAAUACAGAGAUUAGCACGGCCCCGAGCAAGGAUGACAUGCAAAUUCGUGAAGCAUUCCAUAUUUUU
ensembl:snRNA U6 U6 spliceosomal RNA